GCUUUCAACAUCCCCGUCUCAGAGGCAAAGACGGUAUCGGCUGAGCCGGUGCUGGACGACCUUGUGAGACUGAAGGC
rnacentral:sRNA from 1 species